rnacentral:rRNA from 1 species
GACGAACCGUACAAACGUUAUUCGGAAUUACUGGGCUUAAAGGGUGCGUAGGCGGCAGGGAAAGUUGGGUGUGAAAUCCCACGGCUCAACCGUGGAACUGCGCUCAAAACUGCCUUGCUAGAGGGAGAUAGAGGUGAGCGGAACUUAAGGUGGAGCGGUGAAAUGCGUUGAUAUCUUAAGGAACACCCGUGGCGAAAGCGGCUCACUGGAUCUUUUCUGACGCUGAGGCACGAAAGCUAGGGUAGCGAACGGG